GAUGAACGCUAGCGGCAGGCUUAACACAUGCAAGUCGAGGGGCAGCAUGGGACGGAGAUUCGUCGAAGUCCUGAUGGCGACCGGCGGAUGGGUGAGUAACGCGUACCCAACCUGCCCCCUUCCCGGGCACAGCCCUUGGAAACGAGGAUUAACGCCCGAUGGCGUCUGGAUGCCGCAUGGCAUUCCGACCAAAUGCGAAGGAAGGGGAUGGGGGUGCGUCCCAUUAGCUAGUUGGCGGGGUAACGGCCCACCAAGGCAUCGAUGGGUAGGGGUUCUGAGAGGAAGGUCCCCCACACUGGAACUGAGACACGGUCCAGACUCCUACGGGAGGCAGCAGUGAGGAAUAUUGGUCAAUGGAGGCAACUCUGAACCAGCCAAGUAGCGUGAGGGAUGACUGCCCUACGGGUUGUAAACCUCUUUUGUCGGGGAAUAAACCGCGCCACGUGUGGCGCCCUGCAUGUACCCGCAGAAUAAGGACCGGCUAAUUCCGUG
rnacentral:rRNA from 1 species